rnacentral:rRNA from 1 species
AUUGAACGCUGGCGGCCGGCCUAACACAUGCAAGUCGAACGAGUGGCGGACGGGUGAGUAAUGUCUGUGAAACUGACUGAUGGAGGGGGAUAACUACUGGAAACGGUAGCUAAUACCGCAUACCAUCAGAUGUGCCCAGAUGGGAUUAGCUUGUUGUUGGGGUAACGGCUAACCAAGGCGCAGAUCCCUCGAUGGUCUGAGAGGAUGACCAGCCACACUGUAACUGAGACACGGUCCAGACUCCUACGGGAGGCAGCAGUGGGGAAUAUUGCACAAUGGGCGCAAGCCUGAUGCAGCCAUGCCGCGUGUAUGAAGAAGGCCUGCGGGUUGUAAAGUACUUUCAGCGGGGAGGCGUUACCCGCAGAAGAAGCACCGGCUAACUCCGUGCCAGCAGCCGCGGUAAUAC